UACGGAGGGUGCGAGCGUUGUCCGGAUUUAUUGGGCGUAAAGAGCGUGUAGGCGGCCAGACAGGUCCGUUGUGAAAACUCGAGGCUCAACCUCGAGAUGUCGAUGGAAACCGUCUGGCUAGAGUCCGGAAGAGGAGUGUGGAAUUCCUGGUGUAGCGGUGAAAUGCGCAGAUAUCAGGAAGAACACCUAUGGCGAAGGCAGCACUCUGGGACGGUACUGACGCUGAGACGCGAAAGCGUGGGGAGCGAACAGG
rnacentral:rRNA from 1 species